rnacentral:rRNA from 1 species
UACGGAGGGUGCAAGCGUUGUCCGGAUUUAUUGGGUUUAAAGGGUGCGUAGGCGGCCCGUUAAGUCAGUGGUGAAAUCCCAGGGCUCAACCCUGGAACUGCCAUUGAUACUGACGGGCUUGAGUUCGGUUAAGGCGGGCGGAACUGGUGGUGUAGCGGUGAAAUGCAUAGAUACCACGAAGAACACCGAUUGCGUAGGCAGCUCGCUGAGCCGAAACUGACGCUGAGGCACGAAAGCGUGGGGAGCGAACAGG